rnacentral:rRNA from 1 species
GACGAACGCUGGCGGCGUGCUUAACACAUGCAAGUCGAGCGAUGAAGCUCCUUCGGGAGUGGAUUAGCGGCGGACGGGUGAGUAACACGUGGGUAACCUGCCUCAUAGAGGGGAAUAGCCUUCCGAAAGGAAGAUUAAUACCGCAUAAGAUUGUAGUACCGCAUGGUAUAGCAAUUAAAGGAGCAAUCCGCUAUGAGAUGGACCCGCGUCGCAUUAGCUAGUUGGUGAGGUAACGGCUCACCAAGGCGACGAUGCGUAGCCGACCUGAGAGGGUGAUCGGCCACAUUGGGACUGAGACACGGCCCAGACUCCUACGGGAGGCAGCAGUGGGGAAUAUUGCACAAUGGGGGAAACCUUGAUGCAGCAACGCCGCGUGAGUGAUGACGGUCUUCGGAUUGUAAAGCUCUGUCUUCAGGGACGAUAAUGACGGUACCUGAGGAGGAAGCCACGGCUAGCUACGUGCCAGCCGCCGCCGUAA